GAGGGUAUAGCCCAGUGGUAGAGAACAUGCCUAGCAUGCAUGAGGUCCUGGGUUCAAUCCCCAGUACUGCCA
rfam:Camelus ferus unplaced genomic scaffold scaffold869, whole genome shotgun sequence.